GACGAACGCUGGCGGCGUGCUUAACACAUGCAAGUGGAGCGACGAACCGGGCUUCGGCCCGGGGCAAAGCCGCGAACGGGUGAGUAACACGUGGGUAACCUGCCCUGAAGACCGGGACAACCCGAGGAAACUCGAGCUAAUACCGGAUGUGUUCACUGUCCAUAAGAACAGUGAGAAAAGGAAGCUUCGGCCUCCGCUUCAGGAUGGGCCCGCGGCCCAUUAGCUUGUUGGUGAGGUAACGGCUCACCAAGGCUGCGAUGGGUAGCUGGUCUGAGAGGACGAUCAGCCACACUGGGACUGAGACACGGCCCAGACUCCUACGGGAGGCAGCAGUGGGGAAUCUUGCGCAAUGCGCGACAGCGGGACGCAGCAACGCCGCGUGGGGGAAGAAGGCCUUCGGGUCGUAAACCUCUUUCAGGAUGAACGAAGCUUCGGCAGCGAAUAGCUGUCCGGAGUGACGGUACCUCCACAAGAAGCCCCGGCUAACUACGUGCCAGCAGCCGCAGUAAAAC
rnacentral:rRNA from 1 species